AUUGAACGCUGGCGGCAGGCUUAACACAUGCAGGUCGAGCGGGGGAAGGUAGCUUGCUACCGGACCUAGCGGCGGACGGGUGAGUGAUGCUUAGGAAUCUGCCUAUUAGUGGGGGACAACAUCUCGAAAGGGAUGCUAAUACCGCAUACGUCCUACGGGAGAAAGCAGGGGAUCUUCGGACCUUGCGCUAAUAGAUGAGCCUAAGUCAGAUUAGCUAGUUGGUGGGGUAAAGGCCUACCAAGGCGACGAUCUGUAGCGGGUCUGAGAGGAUGAUCCGCCACCCUGGGACUGAGACACGGCCCAGACUCCUACGGGAGGCAGCAGUGGGGAAUAUUGGACAAUGGGGGGAACCCUGAUCCAGCCAUGCCGCGUGUGUGAAGAAGGCCUUAUGGUUGUAAAGCACUUUAAGCGAGGAGGAGGCUACUUUAGUUAAUACCUAGAGAUAGUGGACGUUACUCGCAGAAUAAGCACCGGCUAACUCUGUGCCAGCAGCCGCCGUAA
rnacentral:rRNA from 1 species